GACAGAGGUCUCAAGCGUUAGGCGGAAUCACUGGGCUUAAAGCGUGUGUAAGCGGAUUCCUAAGUACCUUGUGAAAUCCCCGGGCUUAACCCGGGAACUGCUUGGUAUACUGAGUGUCUUGAGCCAACUAGGGGCGACCGGAACAAACGGUGGAGCGGUGAAAUGCGUAGAUAUCGUUUGGAACGCCAAUGGUGAAAACAGGUCGCUGGGGUUGUGCUGACGCUGAGACACGAAAGCCAGGGGAGCGAACGGG
rnacentral:rRNA from 1 species